GGAUUGUGGCUCAGUGGCAGAGCGCUUGCCUCACACUUAUGAGGCACUGAGUUUAAUCCUCAGCACCA
rnacentral:tRNA from 1 species